CUGCGAAUGGCUCAUUAAAUCAGUUAUCGUCUAUUUGAUAGUACCUUACUACUUGGAUAACCGUGGUAAUUCUAGAGCUAAUACAUGCUGAAAACCCCGACUUCGGAAGGGAUGUAUUUAUUAGAUUAAAAACCAAUGCCCUCCGGGGCUCCCUGGUGAUUCAUGAUAACUUCUCGAAUCGCACGGCCUUGCGCCGGCGAUGGUUCAUUCAAAUUUCUGCCCUAUCAACUUUCGACGGCUGGGUCUUGGCCAGCCAUGGUGACAACGGGUAACGGAGGGUUAGGGCUCGACCCCGGAGAAGGAGCCUGAGAAACGGCUACUACAUCUAAGGAAGGCAGCAGGCGCGCAAAUUACCCAAUCCCGACGCGGGGAGGUAGUGACAAUAAAUACUGAUACAGGGCUCUUUAGGGUCGUGUAAUUGGAAUGAGUACAGUUUAAUUCCCUUAACGAGGAACAAUUGGAGGGCAAGUCUGGUGCCAGCAGCCGCGGUAAUUCCAGCUCCAAUAGCGUAUAUUAAAGUUGUUGCAGUUAAAAAGCUCGUAGUUGAACCUUGGGCCUGGCUGGCCGGUCCGCCUCACCGCGUGCACUGGUCCGGCCGGGCCUUUCCCUCUGGGGAGCCGCAUGCCCUUCACUGGGCGUGCCGGGGAACCAGGACGUUUACUUUGAAAAAAUUAGAGUGUUCAAAGCAGGCUUAUGCUCGGAUACAUUAGCAUGGAAUAAUGGAAUAGGACGUGCGGUUCUAUUUUGUUGGUUUCUAGGACCGCCGUAAUGAUUAAUAGGGACAGUCGGGGGCAUCAGUAUUCAAUUGUCAGAGGUGAAAUUCUUGGAUUUAUUGAAGACUAACUACUGCGAAAGCAUUUGCCAAGGAUGUUUUCAUUAAUCAGGAACGAAAGUUAGGGGAUCGAAGACGAUCAGAUACCGUCGUAGUCUUAACCAUAAACUAUGCCGACUAGGGAUCGGACGCUGUUGUCUUUUGACGCGUUCGGCACCUUACACGAAAGUACAAG
rnacentral:rRNA from 1 species